rnacentral:SRP_RNA from 1 species
GCCAGGCGUGGUGGUGCACGCCUGUAGUCCCAGCUACUUGGGAGGCUGAGGCAGGAGAAUCGCUUGAAUGCAGGAGUCAUAGGCUGCAGUGAGUUGAGAUGGCACCACUGCACUCCAGCCUGGGCAACAGAGCGAGACUCUGUCUCAA